CAACCUGCCGACAGGAUGGGGACAACAUUCCGAAAGGAAUGCUAAUUCCGAAUGAAGGCGGAGGAGAGGCAUCUCUCCUCUGUGAAAGAUGGCCUCUUUUUAUGCUAUCACCUGUUGAUGGGUCUGCGUCCGAUUAGCUGGUAGGUGAGGUAACGGCUCACCUAGGCGACGAUCAGUAGCCGGUCUGAGAGGAUGAACGGCCACAUUGGGACUGAGACACGGCCCAGACUCCUACGGGAGGCAGCAGUGGGGAAUCUUCCGCAAUGGGCGCAAGCCUGACGGAGCAACGCCGCGUGAGUGAAGAAGGUCUUCGGAUCGUAAAGCUCUGUUGAUGGGGACGAACGUGCCGAAUGCGAAUAUUUUUAGGUAAUGAAGGGACCCAUCGAGGAGCC
rnacentral:rRNA from 1 species